AGCGAACGCUGGCGGCAGGCCUAACACAUGCAAGUCGAACGAACUCUUCGGAGUUAGUGGCGGACGGGUGAGUAACACGUGGGAACGUGCCUUUAGGUUCGGAAUAACUCAGGGAAACUUGUGCUAAUACCGAAUGUGCCCUUCGGGGAAAGAUUUAUCGCCUUUAGAGCGGCCCGCGUCUGAUUAGCUAGUUGGUGGGGUAAUGGCCCACCAAGGCUACGAUCAGUAGCUGGUCUGAGAGGAUGACCAGCCACAUUGGGACUGAGACACGGCCCAAACUCCUACGGGAGGCAGCAGUGGGGAAUCUUGCGCAAUGGGCGAAAGCCUGACGCAGCCAUGCCGCGUGGAUGAUGAAGGCCUUAAGAUUGUAAAAUCCUUUCACCGGUGAAGAUAAUGACUGUAGCCGGAGAAGAAGCCCCGGCUAACUUCGUGCCAGCCGCCGCUGUAAGAC
rnacentral:rRNA from 1 species